rnacentral:rRNA from 1 species
AUGGUGCUGGGGUGUGGUGAUGGUGAUGGAUCGACGACGGCGCCUGGGCGUGGUGAUGGUGAUGGAUCGGCGACGGCGCCGGAGCGUGGUGAUGAUGGUGGUGGAUCGGCGACGACGCCGGAGCAUGGUGAUGAUGUCGGUGGAUCGGCGACGGCACCGGAGCAUGGUGAUGAUGGUGGUGGGUCGGCGAUGGUGCCGGAGCAUGGUGAUGAUGGUGGUGGCUCGGCGAUGGCGCCGGAGCUUUGUGAUGAUGGUGGUGGCUUGGUGAUGGGGCCGGAGCAUGGUGAUGAUGGCUGUGCCGCCCGUGGGCGGGAGCAGGCGCCGACGCUGGAGCGUGAUGGUGAUGAGGGCUUGGCGCUGGGGCAAACUGGCCAUGAUGGUGAGUGGGGCUCGGUGCUUGAGUCGGCGCGUGGUGGUGGUCCUCGUGAGCCGAGGAGAGUAGGGCUAGCGGGGCCAACAAUAGAGCCAUCACUACGAUGGUUGGCUAGAGAGGAGUCGCCAUGUCGGGGAGCGCGUUUAUAUAUAGUGUCGAGCAUGUGUACUUGGAAGAGGGGAGUGGGUGUAGCCUGCUCAAUCGGUCGAUGCAGUUCAGAGAGCAACUGA